GGCUCUCGAAGAUAUCGAGCGCCUCCUCGGCGUCGCGGUGCUGGCGGUAGGUCAUCCAGCAGCAGGGCUCCACAUCGGUCUCGUCGAUGCCCCAGAAGCUUGAGGCAGCCUCCAUGUCCAUCCGGGUGACGUAAGGAGGAUUUUAAGGCCAAACUGCAAGGCGAUGGACACUUGGUCUGGACACCUGUGCACCACCCAACUUCCAGAUCAGGCAGUACCCGGUUAUUCGGAAAACAAGACAAGGGCUUGGGUGUGCUCCUAGGAAAAGUUAAAAGCUCAAUGCAGAUGCCAAGGGUUGUCUGCAAAAGUAUCAUUAAUGAGGUCAGGAAACCAGAAGGAUCGUGGUCUUUGAUGAUCUGUACUAAUAUGCAGGGAAGGUGGGUACCAUCUUGGACUGUGGCCAGAAACACACAUUUGCCAGCACCUCUUAUGUGUCCAGUCCCUAAUGUCUGCAUUUCAGAGUUUGGCUGGCUUUGAUUUUGCUGCAGCAAAGAAAAAAUAUCCCAAGUGUGACUGAGAAGAGGAGACCCAGGACUGAACAGAAGCUGGAGUGAGAAAGGAAGAGCCAUAGCAAGGACUUUAAAAGAACUGACCACGAUGAAUGGCUUUAACAUGCUGUCUGGGGCCUCUCUGGACACCCUGAGCCAUCACUUAAGAAGUCUAGCCACCCAGAGAGGCACUAUGCUGGAGAAGCCUGGUGUGACACUCUUCUGGGGACAGUCCCAGCUGAGUUCAUUGGGAUGAAUGUGAGUGAGGCUCCCUCGGGCCC